rfam:Gossypium hirsutum cultivar TM-1 chromosome 12, whole genome shotgun sequence
AUUCCAUGAUGAAGGCAUUUUCAUAAUAAUUCUUUGAAUCUCUCCCAUGCCUCAUACAAGGAUUCAUCGUCCAUUUUCUAGAAGGUAGUGAUCUCGUUCCACAACUU